CGCGGGGUGGAGCAGUUGGCAGCUCGUCGGGCUCAUAACCCGAAGGUCGCAGGUUCAAGUCCUGUCCCCGCAACCA
rnacentral:tRNA from 9 species